AGUAAACAACAUUUGAAAGCUUAAAGAUCCGGUCUUUAAGAAAAAAAUGAAAAUGCGCGCUUAUAUAAAUAAAGACACGCUAACAUUGGUCAACAAAGGAAAUUUGUGAACGCAGAUAAGUUAUCAACGUUAUAUUUUAGUUUCGCCUUGAUUUUAAGCCAGUUACCAUGAUAUCAAAUCAAGCCAUCCUAUGUGUUCUUUUUCUGGCAGCGUUUUGUAUAUCUGGGAUUCUAGGGGCAGGUGGAAAUAAUUGUUGGGCUCCACCAUCAUUCUUUGGAUCAGAAUGCAAGUCAACCACAUCUAUAAUUGGUCGCCCAGGUCAUAAAAUCGUGUAUUCGAUCAGCUUUAAUGGAAAUACUUUGCUUUGCUGCAAAGCUUUUUACUGCAGGAGCAAUAGAUGCAAGCUUUAUGAUAUAGGAUGCAGCGCUAGAAGUUGGAGGACAAAUCGCCUGCCUUGGGGAAACAAUCUUGCCACACCGUCACUACAAUGCAAAGGCGUUGUUCUCGGAGCAGCUUAUUCAUUCACCCACUAGAUUCCGGUUCAGACUCAUGCCAAGUUCAUAAGUUUAUUUUUGAAAAAUAUCACAAAUAACAUUAAAUUUGCUUCUUUUGUUUAACAAAAUGGUUAUACUGAUUAUACUAUUAUACCUUUUUCAUUUAUCUUUUUCAAUGUAUUGAUUUAAAACAAGAUUAUAAACUGAAACAAUGAAACAAUUUGUACGUUCGACGAUGACACGUGAUGUAUUUGAAUAAUUUUGAAAUUUAACAAUUCCCUUCA